AGUAGGGUCAGCUAAUUAAGCUUUUGGGUCCAUACCCCGAACACGUUGGUUAAAAUCCUUCCCCCACUA
rnacentral:tRNA from 1 species